AGAGAAAAGGGUGGAGUAGCACCCGAUUCUCAUUUUCACAAAAAGACUAAAGGGUUGUCUCUUCCUUUUCUCUCCACCACCUCCAGCCAGCUGCUUUCGGCGACGUUCCGGCGAGUCUUCUGGCCGGCAAGAUUCAAGUGUGGGUUUUGAAUCAACUCUAGAGAAGAGUUUGAUUUCUUGAAUUGAAGACACUAACAAGCUUUAAGGUUAGUGAACUUACGUGGAGUAUACGUUGCGUUUGUGGUAAGAAUUUACAAUUCGCUUUGAGGUGAGUCUAGUUCCAGUACCAAGGUUACGGAUUAGGAGGAGCGU